rnacentral:rRNA from 1 species
GAACUUUGAAGAGAGAGUUCAAUAGUACGUGAAACCGUUCAGGGGUAAACCUGAGAAACCCGAAAGGUCGAACGGGGAGAUUCAGCGCGUCCAUCGUCCGCCCGCGAGCGGCGAGCGAUCCAGUCGACGGUCGGCGUCCGCGCCGGCCGCGCCGCUCGCCGCCGCAUACGGGUGGCGAACGCGUGCACUUCUCCCCCAGUAGGACGUCGCGACCCGUUGGGCGCGGGCCUAAGGACCGGUGGGGCAGACCGAGCGGCGCCUUCACGGGCGCCCGCUCGGACCCCCGGCUCCCGGCCCGCCCGCUCGACGGUACGACAGUGGCGCGGGGCCGCGAACCUAGUUCGCGUCCGGCCCGUCGCAAGUGCCCGCGGCAACCCGGCUCACUCGGACCUAGCGCCGAGGCCGGGCCCGCGGGACUGCUGGCGGCGGUGACCUCGGACAGACCCUAACGCGCGCCGGUCGGCGACGCUAUAGCUUUGGGUACUUUCAGGACCCGUCUUGAAACACGGACCAAGGAGUCUAGCAUGUGCGCGAGUCAUUGGGACAGUAGCGAAACCCACAGGCGCAAUGAAAGUGAAGGCGCGCCUUGCGCGCGCCUAGGGCGGAUGCGACGGCCAACGUGCCGACGCCGCACGCCCGGGGCGUCUCGCGCUCAUCGCGAGCUGAGGCGCA